rnacentral:lncRNA from 1 species
UUUUAUUACUUUAAAAAAUAUCAUAAUUUCUAAUUUUAUAAUUUUACUUUAUUUCAGUGCUUUAUGUUUGAAAUUUAUUAAAUAUACCAUUUUUUCGGAUUUUAUUACUUUCGGUGAAUAUACAAUUUCUGUUUUUUUUCUUUUCGUAUUUUAUGUUUUCUUAAACAUAUUUUUUUAUCAUUUUAUUUUUAAUGCUAUUUUUCUAAAAAAAACUAAUUAUAACAUUCUAAAUAAAUUUCAUAAAAAAAAUUCCUAAUUAAUAUACAAUGUACAUAACAUGAAUUUUUUUAUGCUAAAUAAAUUUCAUAAAAUUUAUAUGCUAAAUAAAAUAAGAAAACACGUAUAAUGUACAUAACAUAACUUUUUUACACACAAAUAUUACAAAAAAUUAAAAUUAAUAAUAAAAAAUUACCUUUUUUCUUUCUUUUUCCUCCCUCCCCUCUUCUUCUUCUUCUCUUCUCCUUUUCUUUUCUUUCCUUUCCUUCUUUUUUUUUCUUCUUCUCCUUUCCUUUUCUUUCCUCUCCUUUCCUUUUCUUUCUUUUUCUUUCUUUCCCUCUCCUUCUCUUCCCCCCACCCACCAGCCGGCUGACCCAUUAUAUGGGCAGUGCCGCCCAUGGGAAUGGCACAACCGGUGCCGCCUAUGGGAAAGGCACAUUUGGUGCCGCCCAUGGGCUACCCUCCACCAGGGUAUUGUCACAUCACCUGUAGUAUUUUUUUCUGAUUUUUAUUUUUUUAAUAUUAUUUUCGUAAUUAAAAAAUAU